rnacentral:rRNA from 1 species
CCUACGGGUGGCAGCAGUCGAGAAUCAUUCACAAUGGGGGAAACCCUGAUGGUGCGACGCCGCGUGGGGGAAUGAAGGUCUUCGGAUUGUAAACCCCUGUCAUGUGGGAGCAAAUUAAAAAGAUAGUACCACAAGAGGAAGAGACGGCUAACUCUGUGCCAGCAGCCGCGGUAAUACAGAGGUCUCAAGCGUUGUUCGGAAUCACUGGGCGUAAGGCGUGCGUAGGCUGUUUCGUAAGUCGUGUGUGAAAGGCGCGGGCUCAACCCGCGGACGGCACAUGAUACUGGGAGACUAGAGUAAUGGAGGGGGAACCGGAAUUCUCGGUGUAGCAGUGAAAUGCGUAGAUAUCGAGAGGAACACUCGUGGCGAAGGCGGGUUCCUGGACAUUAACUGACGCUGAGGCACGAAGGCCAGGGGAGCGAAAGGGAUUAGAUACCCGGGUAGUC